UGAAUGAAAUCUUGGGUUCCCCCCAUUACCUCCAAGUCAAGAAUGCUCUUUCCAUAGCUUUCGAACAAACACAUACAAACUGAGCUUUAUGGAGAGUCCGUCUGGGAUUAAGGUGGAGUUUCUUUCUAUUACAUGCAUUCUUCAUGUUUUAUUUGCAUUAACAUGGUUGCAUUUUGUUGAGUGAAAUUCAUUCUCUUUCUCCUCUUUUGUUUUCUCUGUCUCUUCCGAUACAAACUUCCCCAAAAAAAGAAAAAACAUAAAGAGCUGAAUGUACCUAGGCAAUUUCCAUUUACACUAGGCAAUAUCUAAACAAUUCUUAGACAUGCUUAGCUGAAGUGCUCUCAAUCAACUAUGGAGUAGCCAUGUUAAUGCUUUUCUAAAUCAAAUUUGAAUUCUAACAUCCUUCUCAUUUGAGCAUGGAUUGGCUAUGCAUGGAAAAUGGUUUGUGGCCCCAUCUGCCAUAUUUAUUUCCUCCUAUUCCAAUAUGGCUUCUUGUUUUUAGCUGUUAUAUGUAUUGGUUUUAACGCCAUAUGUUGUGACUGUUUGGGGGCAUAGCUUUUAUUUAUUUCUCAAUUAUAAUAGAUAGUGUGUGUCUCUUGUAAUUUUUAUCAUUAUUGAUUUUUAUUUAUAUUUGAGAUAACUUUUGAGAUUUGGGGUUUGACAAUCUCUGUCUUCUUCUUUCUUGCAAUGCUGAUGAAGGAAAUCUUGGGUUCCACCCUUUACCAGGUCAAGGAUGCUCUUUCAUAGAUUUCGAACAUACAAACUGAUCUUUAAGGAGUCCCUCUGAGAUUAAGGUGGAGUUUCUUUCUAUUAUAUGCAUUCUUCAUUUUUUAUUUGCAUUAACAUGGUUGCAUUUUGUUGAGUGAAAUUCAUUCUUUUUCUCCUCUUUGUUUUCUCCUUCUUUUCCGAUAUAAACUUCCUCAAACAAAGAAAAAAGAUAUAGAGCUGAAUGUCCCUAGGCAAUUUCCAUUUACACAUGGCAAUAUCUAAACAAUUCUUAGUCAUGCUUAGCUGAAGUGCUCUCAGUCGACUAUGGAGUAGCCAUGUAAAUACUUUUCUAAAUCAAAUUUGAAUUCUUACAUCCUUCUCAUUUAAGCAUGGAUUGGCUAUGCACAGAAAGUGGUUUGUGGCCCAAUCUGCCAUAUUUAUUUCCUCUUAUUCCAGUAUGGCUUCUAGUUUUUAGCUGUUAUGUAUGAAAAGUGGUUUGUGGCCCAAUCAGCCACAUUUAUUUCCUUUUAUUCCAAUAUGGCUUAAGUUAUUCUAAUGUGUAUUGGUCUCAAUCGACUAUGGAGUAGCCAUGUAAAUGCUUUUCUAAAUCAAAUUUGAAUUCUAACAUCCUUCUCAUUUAAGCAUGGAUUGGCUAUGUAUGGAAAGUGGUUUGUGGCCCAAUCUGCCAUAUUUAUUUCCUCUUAUUCCAAUAUGGCUUCUGUUUUUAGCUGUUAUGCAUGGAAAGUGGUUUGUGGCCCAAUCUGCCAUAUUUAUUUCCUCUUAUUUCAAUAUGGCUUAUGUUAUUCUGAUGUGUAUUGGUUUUAACGCCAAAUGUUGUGACUGUUUGGGGGCAUAGCUUUUAUUUAGUUUUCAAUUAUAGUAGAUAGUGUGUCUCUUGCAUUUUUUUAUCAUUAUUAAUUUUUAUUUAUAUUUGUAAGAUAGCUUUUGUGAAUUGGGAUUUGACAACUUCUUUCUUGCAGUGCUAAAUAAGGAAAUCUUGGGUUCCCCCCAUUACCAGGUCAUGGAUGCUCUUUUCAUAGCUUUCGAACAAAUACAUACAUACUGAGCUUUAUGGAGAGUCCCUCUGGGAUUAAGGUGGAGUUUCUUUCUACUAUAUGCAUUCUUCAUUAUUUAUUUGCAUUAACAUGGUUGCAUUUUGUUGAGUGAAAUUCAUUCUCUUUCUCUUUGUUUUCUCUUUCUCUUCCGAUAUAAACUUCUUCAAAAAAAAAAAGAAAAGAUAAAGAGCUGAAUGUACCUAGGCAAUUUCCAUUUACACCAGGCAAUAUCUAAACAAUUCUUAUGCAUGCUUAGCUGAAGUGCUCGCAGUCAACUAUGGAGUAGCCAUGUUAAUACUUUUCUAAAUCAAAUUUGAAUUCUAACAUCCUUCUCAUUUAAGCAUGCAUUGGCUAUGCCUGGAAAAUGGUUUGUAGCUCAAUUUGCCAUAUUUAUUUACUCUUAUUCCAAUAUGGUGUUUUUUUUUUUAGCUGUUAUGGCCUCUAUUUGGAUAUAAGAUGGUGCCACAGACAUGGGAUGAGUUUUUUAUGAAGGUAGCAUAAAUUUUAAAAGUAAGGGAUAUAAGAUGUGUCAUCUUUUUUUGUGAUUGAUGAGCGUGAAUGUCUCUUAAAUUUUUAGUUGAUGAUGUUCAAUUUGCUUCUAUAGCAAUGAACAUUGUAAAAGUUUUGUUUUCGCAAUUUCUGAAGGGCAAAUGUAUUAUUUCUUGUAAAAUAGGUAUGGACCAUGAGAGGUUAUUGGAUUGGAACUGGACCAUACAAAUUCUACAAAGCUAAGUCUUUGCACUAUUGGAGGGGCUGAAAUUGUAUGAUUAUAGAUGGGAUCCCUCCAUUGCGGUGGAAGGGGAUUCAAUGAAGAGCACGUAUACUAUGCUCCCUCAGGAGUAUAGUUUACUUUUUCUACCUUGUUCAGAUGACCUAUUAAGGAAUUUUUCAAUCUAAAAUUUUGGAUGAUUAUUUAAAAAAAAACAAACUUUGAAAUUUGAGUUUUCUAACACUUAAAUCUUAUCCUCUAAAAAUUGGACGUUCUUGGGCAUUAAAUCAAUACAAUCACAAGCUGCCAAUGAACCGGUAAUUUGUAUGUUCUUGGGCAUUAAAUUAGUUGAAAUGUUCAUCGAAGUUACUAAUUGUGUCAAGUAGUCUUGUC
rnacentral:lncRNA from 1 species